UAUUAUUUUAAAAUGUUAAUUUUUGUACCCGAGUAGUAUUAGUUAUGUUCUUGAAACUUAAAGAAUUUGGCGGUAUCUCAUUCCGUCUAGAGGAAUCUGUCCCGUUAUCGAUAGUCCACGUUGGACCUUACUUAUUUUAUUUUGGUUUGUAUACCGCCGUUUAUUGAUUAUCUUUUUAGGGUUUAUUUAAUUUUCUGGUUUCUUUAUUUUGAUAUAUUUCAGGUCAAGGUGCAGCUUGUUUUUAAGUGGAAUGAUGGAUUACAUUAUUAUUUGUUUGUGGAUUAUCAAUUUUAAUAUUGGCAUGAAAUUGGAUUUAGUUGUAAUGGUUUGUAGAUUGUUACUAUGAUAAUGGUUCUGAGAUAUGUACACAUCGCCCGUCGCUCUCGUUUAUUAUAAU
rnacentral:rRNA from 1 species